GUCGUUGUUCCCUUGGAAACCAAAAGCAACAGCCAGAUUGAUCAGCAUAUCAAUCAGACGUACUGAACAUCUGUAGCUGCUGAACGAGCUGGAUCACAAAUGGAGGACAUUCAGAUGGACGAUGAGACUCCUGUGAGCGUCUCAGUGACGUCUUCACCAGUGAAUUAUAGUGGCAUCAACAGGAACGAAAUUAAUGACGACUCUAUGAGCAGAGCUGAUGA